CCUACGGGAGGCAGCAGUGAGGAAUAUUGGUCAAUGGUCGGGAGACUGAACCAGCCAAGCCGCGUGAGGGAGGAAGGUACAGAGUAUCGUAAACCUCUUUUGCCAGGGAACAAAGACUGGGACGCGUCCCCGGAUGAGUGUACCUGAAGAAACAGCAUCGGCUAACUCCGUGCCAGCAGCCGCGGUAAUACGGGGGAUGCGAGCGUUAUCCGGAUUUAUUGGGUUAAAGGGGUGCGCAGGCGGUCUGUUAAGUCCGCGGUCAAAGCGCGGGGCUCAACCCCGGCCCGCAGUUGAAACUGGCAGUCUCGAGUUGGAGAGAGGUAUGCGGAAUGCGCGGUGUAGCGGUGAAAUGCAUAGAUAUCGCGCAGAACUCCGAUUGCGAAGGCAGCAUGCCGG
rnacentral:rRNA from 1 species